UAACAAAUGUCUUAGUUCAGAUUUUCCAAAAAGCCAAACCUAAGAUCAGGACUUUCACUCAAGUUCUUUAUUGGAGAAAUACACUCAGAAGAGGAGGAUUGAGGAAAGAGAAGGUGGAGGAAAAAGCUAAGCAGGAAUGUGCUCUUGACUGAAAAGAGUCUCCAGUCUGAUCUUCUGGGGAGCUCUGCGGUACAAAUUCUACUCCAGAGUUUGUCCCACGUUGGGGCAAGAGGGCUGCCCGUUUAUCCCAGUGCCAGUCAGUCAUUGUCUGAGGUCCGCCACCGGGGAAGUAGGUAGAGUUUUGUGGCAGUUACUAGAGCCUAAGUCUGGAAAGAAUAGAAUCAACAUAUCCCUGCUAGAUGAAAAAGCAUAAAUGCCCUCAUUGUAUUAUGUCCCUCCUAAAAAGUCUCUUGGACAACACACUGCAGCACACUGAUGAUGAUGGCCAGAAAGGACACCACAGUAACACAGAGGAGGGUCACUGUUGCAGGGGGAGUUGCCCAGCCACCAGCGUGCAGGAAGCAUACCCUGGAGAAGUCACGGGCCCAUCACCUGUGGGAAGGGAAAGGAAGCAAGACUGGCCCAAGGGAGGGGCUGGGCUGUGAUGCAGUCUCAUUAAAGGCCACAACCAACUCCUCAGGAAAUCAAAGCUCAAAUGACAUCUCAGACUUAGACCAAAUGGAAACAAAGGACCCAGGCCUUGACACCUUUGCAUGGGCCAAUCAUUGGAGACGGGCGCCCGGUGGAAAGGGCAGGACUCUGGACAAGAUGGCUUUCUGCAGCGGGGGCCAUUCCUAAAGAGGAAGAGUUAACAGAACUGUCUGCUGACAACCCUCUCAGCAGUCAGCAGAGUGAGCCCUUCAGAAGGUUCUGGGCUGCAAGGCACCAUGUCCACUCUAAUCACCUAAUCUAGUCCAGGGAGCAGGGAGGCUUCCAUGAUGAGAUGGCAUAUGAGCUGGGUCUUGAAAGGGAGUGGGAGUUCGGAUGGGGGCCAGGCACAGCCCUGCUCAGUUCUUCAAUGCCAGAUUAGGAAGUACUCAAUUAGGCUGUUUGACGCUGAAGACUUUUCGGGAAAGAAGCAAUUAGGAACCAUUAACUAGGAUACCUGUUCUCUCUCUUUUGUUUUCCCUUUUAAAAACAAGCUGGAAAAUAUGCCUUAAUUAACCCGCUUUUCAUUUGGAAGACAGCAGCAGUGCUUCUAAGCAUGUCAGCCUGCUUGAAGAUGAAAUGGAAGAGAGCUUGUCAAACAUCUCCCUACAAGGGCAAGAAAGCGAAAUCAGGAGGUGAAAGGUUGGGUAGGAGGAUUGCUCAGACUCAAGAAACUAUCUGCGAGGCACUAAUUGGGCUGCCAAAAUGUGCUGGGGCAAAGAGGAGAAAUGCGGAUAAACAAUUUUGCAGCAAGGGGUCAAUGAUGAGGCUGGGGGCUUGGGGAGGCACAGCCAGGACACCCCCUCUCCUAACCACCCCCCAAAGCGAGGGUCUGAGGAUUAAGCGAGGUUUGAGAAUGAGGCUGGGGCAGCUCAUGGGGCCUAUGCCCUUUGAACUCUGUUUCAGGCUCAGGUCCAGGCCCCAUCUCUCUCCCCAGCCCACCCACACCCUGCCAUAUGCAACAUCACCUGUGGGAGAAAUUGCUGGUGUGGAACAGGUGAGGAUCACCGAGCCUGACCCUCUCAAGGAGGAGGUGAGGAGGAAAGUCAGGAAGCGCAGGAUCCUGGUGGCUCUCCAGAGGCCAAGGCCGACGUCAUGGAAGAAGGAGAGUGACAGGGGUGAAUGCUGGCAAGGGGCGGCAAAGAAGGUCGCUCACAGCUUUGGGGCAGAAGAGAAAGCUAAGGGUAGGGACCAGGUGCAUGAAGGUAAAGAGAAGGGCUUGUUUCCUGGCUCAUUCUCUACUUGCUGUUCUCCUGCUUCCUUUCUCAGCAAAGCUUCCUUAGCCAAUUAGAGGGGUCACUGCCCAUCCCCAACCCCACUGCUCCCCACUGUCACCCUCUGACCUCUGCCCAAAGUGAGUCCUUAGAAGACAGGAGGCAAAGCCAUAGAUCUACUGAGCCUCAUGGCUAAUUCAACCAUCUUGCUCCUCCCUAGUUCUUUUCAUGAGGGAAGCCCUGAGAAGCCAAGAGUGCAUUUCCCUGAUGUCCUGAACAUUCUAGUACAGCGAAGUUCCAUCCAAGGGUCUGGUGUUAUUCAUUCAUUUAUUCAUUCAUCCCUUUGUGCAUUGAUUAAUUUCUUAAACAUGAUUCUAGCACCUAGUGUGCCGGGCACCAUGGUAGUGGGAGGGUAGCACUCUAAGGUAGUGUGCGUACCAUCAGUGGUAUCAUGCUGCCAAGUGAAUGGAGAAAUUAAUUCUUCAGGAGGGGGAUGCAGAAAGUUAGAUAGGAGCUGGGGCUUUAAAGGCUAAGCAGGCAUUGACCAGACAUUAAAGGAGAUGAGGAAAUAGAUUCCAGGCAGCAAGAACAGCAUGUAUGAGGAUAGAGAGGCAUGAAAAUACGUGCCAUGUAUGUGAUGAGAAAAUGGUGAAUAAUCCUAUAAUGUCAGAGUACAGUCUGUACAGGCAACUAAUAGAAGGUGAUUGUGGGAGGCUGUAUGUAUGAGCCUUUUGCCUUAACAUAGUACCCAGACUGGGGGGCUUACAGUACAGAAACUAAUUUCCCACAGUUCUAGAGGCCAGAGGUCUAAGAUCAAGGUGUCUGCAGAGUGAAGUUCUGAGGCCUCCCUUCCUGGCUGCCGGGUGGCCACGUUCUCCAGUGUCUUCAUGUGGCCUUUCCUCAGGGUGUGCAUGAAGACAGACAGAACAAGCCCUCUGGUGUCUCUAGUCUGAUCAUGGCACUAAUCCCAUCAUGGGGACCCCAUCCUCACGACCUCCCAAAGUCCCCCAUCUCCAAAUCCCAUCACCUUGCAGGGAAGACCAGCGACACAGGGAUUUCAGACCUUGAGUCCAUAACUGAGGUAGAAAGGCAAUGAGGAUUUUUAGAAAGAUUUCCUGAGCAUGGAACAGUUUGAUAUGAAUGUUUAGACACACUGCCCUGUCAGCAGAGGGAGAGAUGAAAUGGGGGAGUGACAGUGGAAGGCAGAGAUACAAGGUGAGAGGCUGUUAAAGUAGUCAAAGCAAGAGGUGAGGAGGGUUUGGCCAUGAAUUCCACCAGCGGAUGGAUCUCUGUCAAAUGAGUACAGAGUGGGUUCUGAGAGAUUCCUGUGGCUGUCCCCAGGCUGGGGAGUGAGUAAGGUUGGCCACAGUCAGAAAAGAGAAGUAUUCAACUCAGGACAUUCCCUUCUCUUGCAUCCAUGACUUGGCGGUUCUCCCUCCAGGAGGUGAGGCAAUGGAUCAUUUGGGAGCACGAAUGGCAAGGCGCAUUACGGUCUAGCUUGUGGCCAUAUUAGACGACCUCUGAUCUGUGACCACCCCUCUCAACUUCUUGCAGGCUGUCAGAGGCUGAGCUUGCUCCUUGGGAAUGGGAAUGAGAAGAGACAUCCUCACAGAAAUCAUAGGAUUAGUCAGCACUGACAGGUCCCUGGCCGACUGGCAGCUGCCACCCACCCACCUGCUCCCUCACCCUAAUACCUGGAUCACACACACGGUUACUCCCCUAGGUGACCGUGCAUCUGGUUGACGCAGGACAGUCCCGGUUUAAACGUGCUGUUCAGGCAUAAUUUUAAUACAGUCUCUUUCACUCUCAAAAGGACCCCAGUUUGGAUGAUAAAAUGUAAGUUUACUUUACACAUCAGCUGCAAACUUCCUUCCCGCUGAGCCCGGAGGCAAUCUCAAAAUCCUUCUGGACCCAGCCCAUCUACUAAGCACCAAUGACCCAACAGCCAGGCAUUGAAAUCUACUCGCCACGCUUCAAUGAAAGAAAGAACACAGGUCCAAUAUCAGCCGGGCAAUCUCAGGCACACAAUUCCACUUCUCGGAACCUCUAUUUCUUUACCUGACACUUGCAAUAAUGGUGUCACCUACCCUCAGGGCAGCAAGAGGCAGAAUGUGGAGAAGCGCUACAAAAUGGUGGUGGUGGUAUGAUUAUUCAGGGGCAGAAACAGCUGGCUUUGCAGUCUCAGGGGUCUGGGCAUCUUCCUUCCUUCCUUCUGCUCUAGUAGGAGACCAUGAUCCUCCUUGGGAAGGAGGCUGCUGAUGCCAGCAACUCCUCUUGGAGAAUAAACCUCCCCUCCCCUAAUCCUCUCCUCCUUUGGAGACAAACAACAAACCCCUCCAGCACCCCCGCCCCUCAGAUCAACUCCAUCAAGAAGCAAGGCUUCUCUUUGUAGUACAGCAAACACGCGUCUCUUAUUGACACUCCCCUGGGACCCUCUGCGGCAACACUUAUAGCUUUGAAGCUGUGAGUGUGUUUAAUGCGAGAGGGGCCCACCUCAGUUCAAGGACAGUAUUUUAAGUCUCCAAGAAGACAGGAACAAAGUUUCGAUGCUGAAAGAAACAGAUUCUUAACAGACUUGAAUGAUAAAACAUCACAGUCCCAUCUGAUUGCCGUAGCCAGCUCUGACGAGAGGAAGGGGAGAAAUGAUCGAGAAGCGUGACUUCUAUCCCAGCCUUGAGCCAGAUGCUUGACCUAAACCGGUACCACCUCCUUGACUUGUGACAGGCACCAAGCUAAGCAUCCAGGGUGUGGACCUCUAAGGACAGUGGGCAGGGAAGCCCGCCUAACGUAAGAACGACCUGGCCCACAACCCAGGUGGAGAACAGGCUGAGCUUCACCGAAACUCACCACCAUCUGUGCUGCAGGCAGAGGGAUCUGGGGGAUGCCUGGGCCAGGAGAAAGACCACACUGGAAGCCAAGGCUUCCAAGUCCUGGGUGGAUCCUAUCACCUCUACGACUUCUCUUCGUGUCCUGGAGACACCAUUCUUGGCACGUAAUAGCUGUUCAGGACAUGCAACUGAAGGAGUGCGCGAAGAAGGCUGCAUGAAUGACUUUUCAACAGCACUUCCUUUAUGCCUCUCUGGACCCUGUUUAUUGAAUGUUUCCUGAAUGCUGACCUUUAAAAUUUUGGAUUUGCUCUAUCACUGUUCCGAGCACCCUAUUUCCAGAUUUUAAUAGCUGAGCCUCCCCUUCCACCUUUCCCAGGGCCUAGGUAUUCUCAGACCUUCUUACCCGGAACAGCUCCUCCUGGGCUGAUCGUUUCCCUGUCCCGGGAAAGC